AUUUAUAUAGUUUAAUAGUAAAACAUUACAUUUUCAUUGUAAAAAUAAAUAUUUUCAAUUUUUAUAAAUA
rnacentral:tRNA from 1 species